UACUUCCAUAAAAAUCUAUCUUCAAGAAAAUAUCCAUAAGCCGUCAUCUAAAUUCUUUUAAACUCAUAAUCCAUCUAAUCUUCUUGUUGCUUUAAUUUACUUAAGUACUUUCUAAUGUGUAACCAUUUCACCAUCAUAUAACUCCUCCAAAAAUACUUCAAGUAGUGUAGUCAAAUACAACCUCUCUUUUUGCACAUGAAGUUGAAUAAAAGUUAGUAACAACAUUUUU
rnacentral:lncRNA from 1 species